rnacentral:rRNA from 31 species
CUUGACGACCAUAGAGCAUUGGAACCACCUGAUCCCAUCCCGAACUCAGCAGUGAAACGAUGCAUCGCCGA